rnacentral:tRNA from 1 species
GCAUACUUAGCUCAAUGGUUAGAGCAUCACUCAUGAAUGCUGAGUCUGUGGGUUUGCGUCCCACAGUACA